rnacentral:rRNA from 1 species
UACGUAGGGUGCAAGCGUUGUCCGGAAUUAUUGGGCGUAAAGAGCUCGUAGGCGGUCUGUCGCGUCUGCUGUGAAAACUCGGGGCUUAACCCCGGGCCUGCAGUGGGUACGGGCAGACUAGAGUGCGGUAGGGGAGACUGGAAUUCCUGGUGUAGCGGUGAAAUGCGCAGAUAUCAGGAGGAACACCGGUGGCGAAGGCGGGUCUCUGGACCGAUACUGACGCUGAGGAGCGAAAGUGUGGGGAGCGAACAGG